AUGUAUAAAAAAAAAGUAUACAUAACUAUAUGUCAGUAUGCGUGAGUGAAGUGUGUGUUGUCUGUGCAGCUGUGCGUAAGUCUAAUGCUGAGGUGGAGGCCAUGAAGAGGCAGUCUAACGGUCUGACAAAGGAGUAUGACAGACUCUUGACAAAGCACAACGAACUACAGAAUCUUCAGGCUGGAGCUGGAGACAAGAAGGAGCAAUAAGGACUAGAUCCAAAUCGUUGAUCCAGAUGACAAGUGACAAAGACAGCAGGUAGCCAGCCACAGCUGUUAUGACUUCACACGGAGACCAGCUAUUCAGCUGAGCAACUCUUCAUUCAUCUCUGACUUAUGUAUACUGUACUGUGCAUGGGAAAAGGUGCAGUUGUUCAAUGUAUCCACAUUGUAUUUGUAUUGUAACUAAGAUAGGGAGCUAAAAUUGUGUCAUGUUUGAAGAAGGAACGAGAGGAUUUUUUUGCGUCUGUAAACGUAUAGUCUUAAAUUCCUUCUCUGGAGCUCAUGUAAUGUCCUUGGUUAAUUGUUUUGCCGUUUUAAGUCAUAGUAUAUAGUACAUUAGUACUUUAAAGUAUAAUACUUGUGUCGUAUAUACUCAAAGUACAUUAUGCUAAUAUGCAGAGCUUUCGGCUUAUGAAAUGCAAAAUCCUGUUUUACAUCUGUAUCCAGUGGGCAAAAUGGGUUGAAAUAAUGUCACAGUUUACAAGCAGAACUGGUUACGUGGAGGGUAUACCCUCAGAUCAACUGUGAAUAUGUUUUUGCUGUGUACCAUGAAGUGGCAUGAUCCUCUUGUGUUCAAUGAUUAAAAUACAAACAUUUGAACAAA